GUGCCAGCAGCCGCGGUAAUACGUAGGGUGCAAGCGUUAAUCGGAAUUACUGGGCGUAAAGCGUGCGCAGGCGGUUUUGUAAGACAGUGGUGAAAUCCCCGGGCUCAACCUGGGAACUGCCAUUGUGACUGCAAGGCUAGAGUGCGGCAGAGGGGGAUGGAAUUCCGCGUGUAGCAGUGAAAUGCGUAGAUAUGCGGAGGAACACCGAUGGCGAAGGCAAUCCCCUGGGCCUGCACUGACGCUCAUGCACGAAAGCGUGGGGAGCAAACAGGAUU
rnacentral:rRNA from 1 species